GCAACUUAGAACCUAGGUGUUCUAGGUCUUGGUGAUUCCUCUGGCACCUGAAGGUGGAAUGGGGAGGAUGGUCACAACUGAGGCAGCAUCUCCAACAGGCAAGGACAUAUCUGUGUGUUUAUAAAGGUAUAUGUGGAAAUGAAGCACAUUCACAGUGUAUAAGGAUCAAAAGCAAAAAGAGGAACACAAGACUGGAAAGCCAUCCAGCUGGGAAAGCAAGGCUUCCUCAGCCUUUGAGCAGCAGAAAUAGUCAGCAAGGGAAUCAUACAUACCGUUAGUAAGGAAGGCAUGCUCUGAAGGCUACCAGUACCUCUCCUUGUCCUGUUCCACAACUGAAACAAAGGCCCUAAAGCCUCACAAAAAAGAAGCUGGAAACAGAGGUUGGCUCUGUCUCACUGAGAGCCAGAAACAGAGAUGGAAAUAAGUCUGGAGAUAGAAGUCUUGAACUCCAGAAGGAAAUGGAUAUUAAAGUUGGUGAGAGAGAAAAAAAAAAUAAAGUUGGUGAGAAAAUGUUUGAAGUUUUAUCUCUUCAUUUAAGGAAGCCUCUCCCACACCAGUACUAGGUUCUGGCCACUACAGCCAGGAGUGAGGUUCUGUUCAAGCAAGACACUUUUAUCAGAAAAAAGAGGUCAUCCCAGUCUCCCAAACAGCUUUUAAGCAUCAGUGAGACUCUUCCAAAGGACCUAUCCACAAAGGAACCAUCACUGCCCUCUUGGUAGGACAGUGUGUGUAUGUAGGUGCACAGAGG